CCUACGGGUGGCAGCAGUGGGGAAUAUUGGACAAUGGGGGCAACCCUGAUCCAGCCAUGCCGCGUGUGUGAAGAAGGCCCUCGGGUUGUAAAGCACUUUCAGUGAGGAAGAACGCCUGGUGGUUAAUACCCAUCAGGAAAGACAUCACUCACAGAAGAAGCACCGGCUAACUCCGUGCCAGCAGCCGCGGUAAUACGGAGGGUGCGAGCGUUAAUCGGAAUUACUGGGCGUAAAGCGCGCGUAGGUGGCUUGAUAAGCCGGUUGUGAAAGCCCCGGGCUCAACCUGGGAACGGCAUCCGGAACUGUCAAGCUAGAGUGCAGGAGAGGAAGGUAGAAUUCCCGGUGUAGCGGUGAAAUGAGUAGCGAUCGGGAGGAAUACCAGUGGCGAAGGCGGCCUUCUGGACUGACACUGACGCUGAGGUGCGAAAGCGUGGGUAGCAAACAGGAUUAGAUACCCUUGUAGUC
rnacentral:rRNA from 1 species